GAUCAUGGCUCAGGAUGAACGCUAGCGACAGGCUUAACACAUGCAAGUCGAGGGGCAGCAUGAGGUAGCAAUACCUUGAUGGCGACCGGCGCACGGGUGAGUAACGCGUAUGCAACCUGCCCGAUACCGGGGUAUAGCCCAUGGAAACGUGGAUUAACACCCCAUAGUACUUUUAUCCUGCCUGGGAUGGGAGUUAAAUGUUCAAGGUAUCGGAUGGGCAUGCGUCCUAUUAGUUAGUUGGG
rnacentral:rRNA from 1 species